GCCGGGCGCGGUGGCUCACGCCUGUAAUCCCAGCUCUUUGGGAGGCUGAGGUGGGUGGAUCACCUGAGGUCAGGAGUUCGAGACCAGCCUGGCCAACAUGGUGAAACCCCGUCUCCA
rnacentral:SRP_RNA from 1 species